rnacentral:rRNA from 1 species
CCUACGGGAGGCAGCAGUCGAGAAUCAUUCACAAUGGGGGAAACCCUGAUGGUGCGACGCCGCGUGGGGGAAUGAAGGUCUUCGGAUUUUAAACCCCUGUCAUGUGGGAGCAAAUUAAAAAGAUAGUAUCACCAGAGGAAGAGACGACUAACUCUGUGCCAGCAGCCGCGGUAAUACAGAGGUCUCACGCGUUGUUCGGAAUCACUGGGCGUAAGGCGUGCGUAGGCUGUUUCGUAAGUCGUGUGUGAAAGGCGCGGGCUCAACCGGCGGACGGCACAGGAAACUGCGAGACUAGAGUAAAGGAGAGGGAACCGGAAUUCUCGGUGUAGCGGUGAAAUGCGUAGAUAUCGGGAGGAACACUCGUGGCGAAGGCGGGUUCCUGGACAUUAACUGACGCUGAGGCACGAAGGCCAGGGGAGCGAAAGGGAUUAGAUACCCUAGUAGUC